rnacentral:rRNA from 1 species
CGGCGGACGGGUGAGUAAUGUAUGGGGAUCUGCCUGAUGGCGGGGGAUAACUACUGGAAACGGUAGCUAAUACCGCAUAACGUCGCAAGACCAAAGAGGGGGACCUUCGGGCCUCUUGCCAUCGGAUGUGCCCAGAUGGGAUUAGCUAGUAGGUGGGGUAACGGCUCACCUAGGCGACGAUCCCUAGCUGGUCUGAGAGGGUGACCAGCCACACUGGAACUGAGACACGGCCCAG